rnacentral:lncRNA from 1 species
CAUGAACACAUGUGUCUGUAAUUGUAAAGUAAUAUGAAAAUAGUUUCUGUAAAAUUUUUAUGAAAUGGAUUUCUUUUUAUCCUAUAGGCUAGUUAUCAAAUUUGACCUCCCCUAGUAUGUCAGGAAGGUACAUGUACAUGGAUGUUUAAAAAAUUCCACAAAUGGUGAAGAAAAUGGCAAGGGAAGACGCCUAGUAAAUGUUUCAAGUACAAUUCAGCAAUGGUAAGUAUAUUUUUUGUAUGGUGCAAGAUUUUUUUGCUGAGUUGAAAACAAUUCG